AAAGCAAUUGAACGGCCAGCAGGGGGGCAACCCGGGGGGGAGUGGCGACGGGUGAAUAAUACAUCGGAACGUGUCCUUAAUGGGGGAUAGCCGGCGGAAAGCGGAAUAAUACCGCAUACGCUCGAGAGAGGAAAGUGGGGGAUUUUCGGACCUCACGUUAAAGGGCGGGCAGAUGGCAGAUUAGCUAGUUGGUGGGGUAAAGGCCUACCAAGGCGACGAUCUGUAGCUGGUCUGAGAGGACGACCAGCCACACUGGGACUGAGACACGGCCCAGACUCCUACGGGAGGCAGCAGUGGGGAAUUUUGGACAAUGGGGGCAACCCUGAUCCAGCAAUGCCGCGUGUGUGAAGAAGGCCUUCGGGUUGUAAAGCACUUUUGUCAGGGAAGAAAAGGGCGUCCCUAAUAUGGAAGCCUGAUGACGGUACCUGAAGAAUAAGCACCGGCUAACUACGUGCCA
rnacentral:rRNA from 1 species